CGUGCCAGCAGCCGCGGUAAUACGGAGGAUCCGAGCGUUAUCCGGAUUUAUUGGGUUUAAAGGGAGCGUAGGCGGACUAUUAAGUCAGCUGUGAAAGUUUGCGGCUCAACCGUAAAAUUGCAGUUGAUACUGGUCGUCUUGAGUGCAGUAGAGGUAGGCGGAAUUCGUGGUGUAGCGGUGAAAUGCUUAGAUAUCACGAAGAACUCCGAUUGCGAAGGCAGCUUACUGGACUGUAACUGACGCUGAUGCUCGAAAGUGUGGGUAUCAAACAGGAUUAGAUACCCUGGUAGUCCACGCCGUAAACGAUGA
rnacentral:rRNA from 1 species